CAAGCAGAGCCGAGCAUAGGA
rnacentral:siRNA from 1 species